CUGGGCGGGCUCUUGCCGGACAGAGGGCUGGGACCUGGGCUAUUCAGGCCAAGGGAGGGGUGGGGAGGUACCGGGCAGGGAGCUGCUGGGGCGAUGCCUGCCGGGCAAGCGGGGAGGGGGUAGGAUCUACUAGGCCGAGAGGCGAGACUGAGCUUGGAGGACCACGGGCGCCUGUCUUCAGGCCAGGGCAGAGACGCGCUUCCCAGGAGGUCUCUCCCUCGAGCUGCAGAAGACAGGUUUUCUCGGCCUCUUGCGGCUGGCUCUGGGGCGUGGGCGGGGUGAGGAGGGGGUCGUGCCCUCGGCACAGAUUGGCGGCCGCAGCAAGUGCAGGGGAACAGGCGCGCCUGCGCGCGCUGGAAGGAAGCAGCCUUGCCGCGGAGGGAGGUCUCCGCCUGGUUGACUGAGAACCUGGGUACUCGAACUUGGAGGACUCGAGGUGGCAUGAUGGCGCUUGGUCUCUCCGGCUUCGGCCUGCUGCUUCAACUCGCGUUCAUCUGAGGCCUUGUUUUUGGUUUCCACGUGCUCUGGCCCGGCCACUGCCUCCACCAUCGUGGAGGCUGGAUUCUGACCCCGAGGUGAGCCGGAAGGACUUCUGGGGGCGGGGCUCUCUCGCUGCCCAGGUAACGGAAGCCGAGUGGCGCUCAAUCUUUCAUUUUUCUUAUUCAAUGUAGAAAGGAGAGCUGAGUUCAAAUUAUAGCCUCCUACGAGGUCUGGCGUUACACUGUGCACAACAGUAACCCCACAUCAUUUGGAAGCCGUUCAUUUAGCGAAUUUUCACCUAACAAGCUGCUGUCCAGGCGCACUGAGGAGUGCGCAAGGCCGAAGGCCCUAGUGUGUAACCCACCGGCGCCUUAUGUCCACCUGGUCGGAAACUGGCGGGUGGCGCCGUGUGUCCAGGACGGUAGGAUGACCUCACGCCUGGAGUUCAAGGGCUGUGGGGACGCCGACGGCACCAUUAGCAGUGGCUGUCACUCUGGGCGCCCGACCCGGGGCUGCCUGCGCGCGGCCGGGGCCGUUGGUCUUCAUGGGGGCCUCCCGGCCGGUGUGCGCACCCAGCCGCAGGGACAGACGCAGAACCGCAGGGAUGGAUGCAGAGCCGCAGGGACCGGCACCGAGCCGCAGGGACGGACGCAGAGCUACAGGGACGGGGGCUGGAGGUUCGCUGCGCGUUGGUGCUGAGACUGGACUCGUCAACUUUCCAUGGGUCAAGCAAUGAACUGAACAGUGCUGAAAUGUAUUAAUAGUGCCUGGUGUUCUUAUUCAUUUCUGCUCUAGUAGUUUUUAGAUGUAGAUGUAAAACAAUUACAUGGUUAAAAUACAUAUAUAUACAUGUGUGUAAUCAUAUUUAUGUCACCUCUGUACACAUGUAAACCACAACAUGGGAGGAUACAAAAGUAAAAGAAGUAACAACCUCCUCUGCCUUUACUCUCCAUCCAGAUCCCCACAGGUAACCAUUGGUAGCACAUUUUUUAAUUUCCUUUUUUCUCAAAAUCCUUCUCUUUUAUAGGCAUAUAUAAUAUGCUCAAAACCAAACACAAAAAGGUUAUUUUCUUUUAUACUAUCUUGCAGCUUUCCCUUUUCACUUAAUGGGUCUUGGACAUUUUUACAUCUUAGCUUUCAUUUUUUCUUCUAAUUAACAUUUGCAUAAUACUCCACUGCCUGUAUCGUACUGGUGUGUUUACUGGGUUUCAUUUUUUAUGCUUGCAGGGAAAUAGCCUGUAGAAACUAGUAGCCAUUAUAGAUUUUACGAUUAUCUCUUUGGUUUGUCUGUGUUUUUAGUUCUCAUUCUCUCCCUAAUCUGUUUCAAGUACCCAUUUAGUUAUAUUAUUUCAGAAUCUUGGUAUCUUAAAAACAAACCCCACUAUUUACUCCGUACUGAAAGGGGAUUUUUUUCCCCUAAGAUUUCCUCGUUGAUGGUGGCUUAUUGCCUACUCUUUAAUAGAAUGUUUAUAUCUAAGUAUAGUUAAGUUGGUGCUUAAUAACUAUUGAUUAGAAUUGAAAUGUAUAAGUCACCAAAGUGCACAUUUCUGAAAUCAAUUAUGAGGAUUUCCAUGAUUAAUCAGCAUUUAGUAGGACUUCGGCGCCCUGUCGGCUCAGUGGUUAAGAGCUCAGUUGCCAACCAAAUGGUUGGCAGUUCAAAUCUACCAGCUGUGGGGCAGUUCUGCUCUGUCUUAAAGGGUCACUAUGAGUUGGAAUCAACUCAAAGGCAACAGAUUUGUUUUUGUUUUUUUAAGUAGGACCUCAAGAUAAAGCUAUUUUAGAGGGACCAAUGUAAAGGGCAGUCCAUUACUGUACAGGGAAUUAUGACUUAGCUCACAGCAUAAGCCUUUCGUAGAAACUCGUUAGAGAAAUAGUUUACUGAAUUGUAUGCAUUUGUGUAUUUAAAUACUUAUAGGUACGAAGAUUGGUGAUUAUAUCAUACAGUAGAAAACUUAAAGAAAAUGCUUUUGACCUAAACAGAAGCUGCAUUUUAGUAUGCCGAAGGGAAGAGGGAGAACAAGCCGGAUCAGAAGACGAAAGCUCUUCAGAAGUUCUGAAUCGAGAGGAGGUAAAGUCUGGUGUUUGACUCUCAUGACCUUUCUAUAUGAGAAACGUGGGCGCAGGUGGUGGGAACGCCUGGGUGACUCUUCCAGGUACAGGAAGGGGACUGAUGAGCAAAACAUCCCUGCAGGUGGGACAGAUGAUUAUUUCAUUGCCAGAGAGUUGCCUGCUCAGCACAGACACGGUGAUUAGAAGCUACUUAGGGGCAUACAUUACCAAGUGGAAGCCACCUCCAUCUCCUCUGCUGGCCCUGUGCACCUUUCUAGUCUUAGAAAAGCAUGCUGGGGACCAGUCUUCCUGGAAGCCUUACCUGGAGACGCUACCCAAGACCUACACCUGCCCUGUUUGUUGGGAACCGGAAGUGGUGAAUCUUCUUCCCAGGCCUUUAAGAGCAAAGGCUCAAGAGCAGAGGACCCGCGUUCAGGAGUUUUUUACAUCCUUCAGAGACUUUUUCUCCUCCCUGCAGCCUCUCUUCUCAGAGGCGGUUGAAAACAUCUUCACCUACAGCGCCCUUCUGUGGGCCUGGUGCACUGUUAACACCAGAGCGGUGUACCUGAGGCACAGGCAGCUCAGAUGCUUCUCUGCAGAGCCGGACACAUGUGCGCUCGCCCCGUACCUGGAUCUGCUGAACCACAGUCCGGACGUCCAGGUAAAAGCAGCGUUUAAUGAGAAAACUCGCUGUUACGAAAUUGUUGCCGUGUCAAGUUGUAGAAAACAUGAGGAGGUAUUCAUCUGCUAUGGCCCCCACGAUAACCACCGUCUGCUCCUGGAAUAUGGGUUUGUUUCCACCCGGAAUCCUCAUGCCUGUGUUUACGUCUCAAGAGAUAUACUCGUUAAAUAUCUCCCAUCAACAGAUAAGCAGAUGAACAAAAAGAUUUCCAUUCUAAAGGACCACGACUUUAUAGAAAAUUUGACGUUUGGAUGGGAUGGUCCAUCGUGGAGGUUACUCACAGCUCUCAAGUUGUUGUGUCUGGAAGCUGGAGAAUUUACAUCCUGGAAAAAAGUACUUCUUGGUGAAAUAAUUUCAGAUACAAAUGAGAAGACAAGUUUGGACGUAACCUGGAAAAUCUGCUGUUAUUUUAUAGAGGAGUCUAAUGCUAUGCUUCAAAAGGUUUCUCGUAUGAAGAAUGAAGAAGUGGCUUUGAUAAACCAACUAACUUUGGUAGAAACUUUGUGGACAGAAGAGCUAAAGAUUCUACAAGCAUCUGCUGCCAUUCUAAGCAGUUUACAAACAACCUUUACCUAACUCUACUGUCUUAGGCUGGAUAAGCAAAGCCAGUUAAUUGUAUGUAUAGAGAGAGAGGAGGUAGCCUCGGGGAGGGAGAGAGAGAAAGUAGAGAGAGAGAGGGAUAUUUAUCUCAAGGAAAUGGCUCACACAGUUGUAGAGCCAGCCAAGUUUGUGGGUCAGGCUUCAGGCUGGAGGCAUCUCCAGACUCACAUAGCCACAGGGGCUGAGGAACCCAAGAUAGGCAGGCAAGACGGCAGGCUGCUAGCUCAUAGGCUGCAGAGGCUGAUGAAUCCCAAGAUCAGCAGGCUGUUUGGCAGGCUGCUGGCCCAGGUCCCAAGAACUGGAGAUCAGAUGAUGAUGAGCCGGAUGCAGGACCCAGAGCAAGCAAGCAAGCUUUGCCAAAACACCCAUAUAUAUAUUGGAUGUAGGCCGCACUCCUGAGGAAACUCCCCUAACAACUGAUUGGCUGAUCACGUCAUGGAGGAUGGCUAUAUCAUUACACAACUGCCAGAUUACAUCAUUACAUAACUGCAAAACCACUGAGAAUCAUGGCCCAGCCAAGCUGACGCACAACUUUAACCGUCACAUUGACCAAAGUACAUGUGAUCACCUCCUAUGGUGGCUGUGACGUCUUAAGUAAUGGAACCGUUUUUAACAACAGUGAGCACCUGCUUCACCAGUCCUGCUUCCACUUGAAGUCUUCUAGAGCUUGAUUGAAACCUCUUGUCAGUUGAUGGCUCCCUCACUGUUCUCUUUGUGGCAGGAGAUGCCAACAUAGUCUGAAGUGUCCACCAGAUCCAAGAAGCUCACUCCUCACCAGCAUCCCUUUCCAACCCAUUGUCCAGUCUAAUCCAUGUCUGAAGAGUUGCCUUCGGGAAUGGUUCCUGUCCUGUGCCAACAGAAGGUCUGGGGGCCAUGACCACCGGGGUCCUUCUGGUCUCAGUCAGACCAUGAAGUCUGGUCUUUUUAUGAGAAUUUGGGGUCUGCAUCCCACUGCUCUCCUGCUCGCUCAGGGGUUCUCUGUUGUGUUCCCUGUGAGGGCAGUCCUCGGUUGUAGCCAGGCACCAUCCAGUUCUGGUCUGAGGAUGAUGUAGUCUCUGGUUUAUGUGGCCCUUUCUGUUUCUUGGGCUCAUAAUUACCUUGUAUCCUUGGUGUUCUUCAUUCCCCUUUGCUCCAGGUAGAUUGAGAUCAAUUGAUGCAUGUUAGAUGGCUGCUUGCUAGCGCUUAAGACCCCAGAUGCCACUCUUCAAAGAGGAAUGCAGAAUGUUUUCUUAAUAGAUUUUAUUAUGCCAGUUGACUUAGAUGUCCCCUGAAACCAUGGUCCCCAGACCCCUGCCCCUGCUACAUUGGCCUUCAAAGCAUUCAGUUUAUUCAGGAAACUUCUCUGCUUUUGGUUUAGUCCAGUUGAGCUGACCUCCCCUGUAUUGUGUGUUGUCUUUGCCUUCACCUAAAGUCUUUCUUAUAUACUAUCUAAUUAGUGAAUACCCCUCUCCCACCCUCCCUCACUCCCCUCUCUUGUAACCACAAAAAAAUGUUUUCUUCUCAGUUUAAACUAUUUCUCAAGUUUUUAUGAUAGUGGUGUUAUACAAUACUUGACCUUUUGCAGCUGACUAAUUGCACUCAGCAUAAUGUCUUCCAGGUUUCUCCAUGUUAUGAAAUAUUUCACAGAUUCCCCACUGUUCUUUAUAAUUUAUCCAUUCAUCGGUUGAUGGGCAUCUUGGUUACUUCCAUCUUUUUGCUGCUGUAAACAGUGCUGCAAUAAACACAGGUGUGCAUGUAUCUGUUGGUGUAAAGGCUCUUAUUUCUCUAGGAUAUAUUCCAAGGAGUGGGAUUGCUGGAUCGUAUGGUAGUUCUAUUUCUAGCUUUGUAAGGAAGCGCCAAAUCGAUUUAUAAAGUGGUUGUACCAUUUGACAUUCCCACCAGCAGUGUAGAAGUGUUCCAAUCUCUCCACAGCCUCUCCAACAUUCAUUAUUUUGUGUUUUUUGGAUUAAAGCCAGCCUUGUUGGAGUGAGAUGAAAUCUCAUUGUAGUUUUGAUCUGUAUUUCUCUAAUGGCUGAUGAUCGUGAACAUUUCCUCAUGUAUCUGUUAGCUACCUGAAUGUCUUCUUUAGUGAAGUGUCUAUUCAUAUCUUUUGCCCAUUUUUUAAUUGGGUUAUUUGUCUUUUUGUAGUUGAGCUUUUGCAGUAUCGUGUAGAUUCAGGAGAUCAGGUGCUGAUCGAAAAUGUCAUAGCGAAAAACUUUUUACCAGUCUGUAGAUAAUCUUUUUACUCUUUCGGUGAAGUCCUUGGAUGAGCAUAGGUGUUUGAUUUUUAGGAGCUCCCAGUUAUCUAGUUUUUCUUCUGGAUUCUUAAUAACGUUUCGUAUACUGUUUAUGCCAUGUAUUAGGACUCCUAACAUCGUCCCUAUUUUUUCUUCCGUGAUCUCUUUUGUUUUAGAUUUUAUAUUUAGGUCUUUGAUCCAUUUUGAGCUCAUUUUUGUACAUGGAAUGAGGUAUGGGUCUUGUUUCAUUUUUUUUCAGAUGGAUAUCCAGUUAUACCAGCACCAUUUAUUAAAAAGACUGUCUUUUCCCCAUUGAACUGUUUUGGGGCCUUUGACAAAUAUCAACUGCUUAUAUGUGGAUGGAUUUAUGUCUGGAUUCUCAAUUCUGUUCCAUUGAUCCAUGUGUCUGUUGUUGUACCACUUACCAGGCUGUUUUGACUACUGUGGUGGAAUAAUAGGUUCUAAAAUCAGGUAAAGUAAGGCCUCGCACUUUUUUCUUCUUUUUCACUAAGGCCUUAUUUUUCCGGGGCCUCUUUCCCUUCCAUAUGAAGUUGGUGAUUUGUUUCUCCAUCUCAUUAAAGAAUGUUGUUGGAAUUUUGAUCGGAAUUGCGUUACAUGUAUAGAUCACUUUUGGUAGAAUAGACAUUUUUAUAAUGUUAAGUCUUCCUAUCCAUGAGCAACGUAUGUUCUUCCGCUUACGUAAGUCUCUUUUGGUUUCUUGCAAAAGUGUAGUGUAGUUUUCUUUGUAUAAGUCUUUUACGUCUCUGGUAAGAUUUAUUCCUAAGUAUUUCAUCUUCUUGGGGGCUACUGUAAAUGGCAUUGAUUUGAUAAUUUCCUCUUCGAUGUUCUUUUUGUUGGUAUAGAGGAAUCCAACUGAUUUUUGUAUGUUUAUCUUGUGUCCCGAUACUCUGCUGAACUCUUGUCUUAGCUUCAGUAGUUUUCUGGAGGAUUCCUUAGGGUUUUCUGUGUAUAAGAUCAUGUCAUGUGCAAAUAGAGAUACUUUGACUUCUUCCUUGCCAAUCUGGAUGCCCUUUAUAUCUUUAUCUAGCCUAAUUGCUCUGGCUAGGACCUCCAACACAAUGUUGAAUAAAAGCGUUCAUAAAGCCCAUCCUUGACUGGUUCCCGAUCUCAAUGGGAAUGCUUUCAGGCUCUCUCGAUUUAGGGUGAUGUUGCCUGUUGGCUUUGUAUAAAUGCCCUUUAUUAUGUUGAGGAAUUUUCUUUCUAUUCGUAUUUUGCUGAGAGUUUUUAUCAUGAAUGGGUGUUGAACUUUGUCGAAUGCCUUUUCUGCAUCAGUUGGUAAAAUCAUGUGAUUCUUUUAUUUAUGUGGUGGAUUACAUUAAUUAUUUUUCUAAUGUUGAACCAUCCCUGCAUACCUGAUAUGAAUCCCACUUGGUCAUGGUGAAUUAUUUUUUGAUGUAUUGUUGAAUUCUUUUGGCUAGAAUUUUGUUGAGGAUUUUUGCAUCUAUGUUCAUGAGAGAUAUAGGUCUAUAAUUUUCUUGUGGUGUCUUUACCUGGUUUUGGUAUCAGGGAUAGGGUGGCUUCAUAGAAUGAGUUUGGUAGAAUUUCAUCAUUUUCUAUGCUCUGAAAUACCUUUAGUAGUAGUGGUGUUAACUCUUCUCUGAAAGUUUGGUAGAACUCUGCAGUGAAGCCAUCCGGACCAGGGCUUUUUUUUGCUGUAAGUUUUUUGAUUACCUUUUCAAUCUCUUCUUUUGUUAUGGGUCUGUUUAGUUGUUCUACCUCUGUUUGUGUUAGUUUAGGUAGGUAGUGUGUUUCUAGGAAUUCAUCCAUUUCUUCUAGGUUUUCAAAUUUGUUAGAGUACAAUUUUUCAUAGUAAUCUGAUAUGAUUCUUUUAAUUUCAGUUGGGUCUG